rnacentral:rRNA from 1 species
AUUGAACGCUGGCGGCAUGCCUAACACAUGCAAGUCGAGCGGAUGAAGGGAGCUUGCUCCUGGAUGCAGCGGCGGACGGGUGAGUAAUGCCUAGGAAUCUGCCUGGUCGUGGGGGAUAACGUCCGGAAACGGGCGCUAAUACCGCGUACGUCCUGAGAGAGAAAGUGGGGGAUCUUCGGACCUCACGCUAUCAGAUGAGCCUAGGUCGGAUUAGCUAGUUGGUGGGGUAAAGGCCUACCAAGGCGACGAUCCGUAACUGGUAUGAGAGGAUGACCAGUCACACUGGAACUGAGACACGGUCCAGACUCCUACGGGAGGCAGCAGUGGGGAAUAUUGGACAAUGGGCGAAAGCCUGAUCCAGCCAUGCCGCGUGAGUGAAGAAGGUCUUCGGAUUGUAAAGCACUUUAAGUUGGGAGGAAGGGCAGUAAGUUAAUACCUUGCUGUUUUGACGUUACCAACAGAAUAAGCACCGGCUAACUUCGUG